rnacentral:rRNA from 1 species
CCUACGGGAGGCAGCAGUGAGGAAUAUUGGUCAAUGGGCGUAAGCCUGAACCAGCCAAGUCGCGUGAGGGAUGAAGGUUCUAUGGAUCGUAAACCUCUUUUAUAAGGGAAUAAAGUGUGGGACGUGUCCUGUUUUGUAUGUACCUUAUGAAUCAGGAUCGGCUAACUACGUGCCAGCAGCCGCGGUAAUACGGAGGAUCCGAGCGUUAUCCGGAGUUAUUGGGUUUAAAGAGUGCGUAGGCGGCCUUGUAAGUCAGCGGUGAAAGUCUGUGGCUCAACCAUAGAAUUGCCGUUGAAACUGGGAGGCUUGAGUAUGUUUGAGGCAGGCGGAAUGCGUGGUGUAGCGGUGAAAUGCUUAGAUAUCACGCAGAACCCCGAUUGCGAAGGCAGCCUGCCAAGCCAUGACUGACGCUGAUGCACGAAAGCGUGGGGAUCAAACAGGAUUAGAUACCCUUGUAGUC